UCCCUGUGUAAUCUGGGCAGCUUCCCGGAGGAUAAUGUCUUUCCACCGUGCAUCGCCCCUCCCUCCCAGGCUGUUUUCACAGGAAGCAAAUCCUGGAGCAUUUUCAAUGCGCCCCUCGAGGCGGAACAAUGAGGCCCUUGAACGCUCAGAACCGCACUUCCUCCAGUUAUCCGGACCUGCGCCCAGCGCCUCCUGCAGAAGGAGGGGACCCAGGGGCAAGCCGGAGGGAACCCGGGGGCAGCCAGAGAGGGGCCGGCCUGCGGGUGCUGCCCAGCUGCAUGAGGGAAGCCCACUAGCCCAAUAAUAGGUUUGGAUCUGACUGUUUUGCCAAGAAAGAAGAGCCAGUCUGUGGAGGCGAAUGAGUCAUGAAUAAACAAACAGCGUGGGGGGAGCUGUCACUCUGAGCUGACUUCCUGGCUGCCAGCGGUGGCGCUGUCACCUCCUGGCUGGGCCCAGGAGCCAGGCCGGCUGUGGCGGCACCAGGAGCCCUGCGAUCGCUGUGUGCCCCCACAGAGGGUGGGGGCACAGGACCCUGAUCCCCAUGCCUGUCUUUGACUUUCGCGCUCAUAAAAGCAUUCCGGUCUUUA